UGAGUAAUGCUUGGGAAACUGCCUGAGAGUGGGGGACAACAGUUGGAAACGACUGCUAAUACCGCAUAAUGUCUUCGGACCAAAGGAGGGGCUCUUCGGACCUUUCGCUUUCAGAUGUGCCCAAGUGGGAUUAGCUAGAUGGUGGGGUAAUGGCCUACCAUGGCGACGAUCCCUAGCUGGUUUGAGAGGAUGAUCAGCCACACUGGGACUGAGACACGGCCCAGACUCCUACGGGAGGCAGCAGUGGGGAAUAUUGCACAAUGGGCGCAAGCCUGAUGCAGCCAUGCCGCGUGUGUGAAGAAGGCCUUCGGGUUGUAAAGCACUUUCAGUUGUGAGGAAGGUUGUGCGGUUAAUACCCGCAUAAUUUGACGUUAGCAACAGGAGAAGCACCGGCUAACUCCGUGCCAGCAGCCGCGGUAAUACGGAGGGUGCGAGCGUUAAUCGGAAUUACUGGGCGUAAAGCGUACGCAGGCGGCUAAUUAAGCCAGAUGUGAAAUCCCCGGGCUUAACCUGGGAAUGGCAUUUGGAACUGGUUAGCUAGAGUUUUGUAGAGGGUGGUAGAAUUUCAGGUGUAGCGGUGAAAUG
rnacentral:rRNA from 1 species